rnacentral:rRNA from 1 species
UACGUAGGGGGCAAGCGUUGUCCGGAAUCAUUGGGCGUAAAGCGCGUGUAGGCGGCCCGGUAAGUCCGCUGUGAAAGUCGGGGGCUCAACCCUCGAAUGCCGGUGGAUACUGUCGGGCUAGAGUGCGGAAGAGGCGAGUGGAAUUCCUGGUGUAGCGGUGAAAUGCGCAGAUAUCAGGAGGAACACCGAUGGCGAAGGCAGGUCUCUGGGCAUUAACUGACGCUGAGGAGCGAAAGCAUGGGGAGCGAACAGG